GCAAGACAUUGUGGCCAGAGCCUAUAGUCCCAGCUACUCAGGAGGCUGAGGCAGGAAGACCACUUGAGCUCAGGAGUUCUGGGCUAUAAUGCACUAUGCUGAUGGGGUGUCCACACUAAGUUUAGCAUCUAUAUGUGUAAGGUAACCUCCAGGGUAUGGUAACCUCCAGAGACUGAGAACCAACAGGUUGCCUAAAGAGAAAUUAACCAACCCAGGUUAGAAAUGGAGCUUAUCAGUAGUGGGAUGAAGCCUGUAAAUAGGCACUGCACUCCAGCCUGGGCAGUAUAGCAAGACCCCAUCUCUA
rnacentral:SRP_RNA from 1 species